CAGAGGGGGGCGUAGAGGUGCUCAGUGGACAGUACAGCCUUCUGCGACAAAAUUUGUUGUUCAAUAGGGGACAUCAUAGUUCAUACGGGAUUGAAUAUGUUACUGAUAAAGUUGGGGAAAUUCUAGAACAGUGGGGCCCAUUUAUACAGGAACAAUAUAGCAAUAGGCUGAAUUG